UACAGAGGUCUCAAGCGUUGUUCGGAUUCAUUGGGCGUAAAGGGUGCGUAGGCGGUGAAAUAAGUUGGAUGUGAAAUCCCGGAGCUUAACUCCGGAACUGCAUUCAAUACUGUUUUGCUAGAGUACUGGAGAGGAGAUUGGAAUUCACGGUGUAGCAGUGAAAUGCGUAGAUAUCGUGAGGAAGACCAGUGGCGAAGGCGAAUCUCUGGACAGUUACUGACGCUGAGGCACGAAGGCCAGGGGAGCAAACGGG
rnacentral:rRNA from 1 species